UGAUCCUGGCUCAGAACGAACGCUGGCGGCAUGCCUAAUACAUGCAAGUCGAACGAGAUCUUCGGAUCUAGUGGCGCACGGGUGCGUAACGCGUGGGAAUCUGCCCUUGGGUUCGGAAUAACAGUUGGAAACGACUGCUAAUACCGGAUGAUGACGUAAGUCCAAAGAUUUAUCGCCCAAGGAUGAGCCCGCGUAGGAUUAGCUAGUUGGUGAGGUAAAGGCUCACCAAGGCUACGAUCCUUAGCUGGUCUGAGAGGAUGAUCAGCCACACUGGGACUGAGACACGGCCCAGACUCCUACGGGAGGCAGCAGUAGGGAAUAUUGGACAAUGGGCGAAAGCCUGAUCCAGCAAUGCCGCGUGAGUGAUGAAGGCCUUAGGGUUGUAAAGCUCUUUUACCCGGGAUGAUAAUGACAGUACCGGGAGAAUAAGCCC
rnacentral:rRNA from 1 species